GCCAUAGGUAGCUCAGUUGGUAGAGCAUUGGACUCUUAAUCUCCAGGUCGUGGGUUCGAGCCCCACCUUGGGCA